AUCCAGUCGACGAGUCUCAAAUAGGACGAAACGCACGUCAAACUGUAU
rnacentral:hammerhead_ribozyme from 1 species